GGAUCGAUGAUGACUCCCACAAAUGCAUUCCUUGGAAAUCUGAACAAAAUGAGUGAGCCACCCCUACCGUCUCCUCAUCGGAACUGAGGUCCAGCACGUGGCUCCCAGAGGGAUCAAAGGGCCAGGGUCACAUUGAUUUGCUCCCUGGGGUGUGAGCAGCCACAGUGUGCAAGCCGAGGGUGAUGGCCUUGUGAUGUGGAGCCAGAUUGAGUGGCCCAGGAUGGAAGACCAUUGGCAUCGGAGACCCAUCACAUAUUCCAUGACUCCCAGCCUGGAAAGUCGAGGCCUACGAGCCGCCACGGGCCACUGGACACGCGGCCCUUGGUGGUACAGGUGGAACACCAAUGGCUGUGCAUUUGGAGCGAAGGACAACAGUGGCAGAUUUAUGGACCAUCCAACAGUUUUCCUCUCCCAUAAUCAGUUCCUCUCUGGCGGAAUUCCAGAUCCACAAGUGACUGGAAGUGAUGUUAGAGAGAAGGGAUAUUUUGCUGCUUGGAAUUCCACUGCCACCCCCAAAGAAGUGCUGUUUUCGUCACUUGUAUGAGCUCCUUUCUCUGGGAAAAUUCACAGCAUUGCUUUCUAGAGACUGACAUGUUCCAAAAACUAGGUUUCAUAUGAAUGAACUUAUUCCUUCCCCUUGAGAUGAGACAUAAAGAAAAAUGUUAGGAAUAAUUCUGCCUCCAUCCUCAAAGGCCUGUGUGAAUUCUCACAAAGAAGAUGACUUCCUGGGAGCUCUUUUGAGCAUGAAUGAUACCAGUAAACCCCUGAAGGAAGACUCUCAGACAGAGCCCUUUUGCCUCCCUCUUGUCUGAGGGCUGCCCUCUGAAGGUGAUGACCACAGAGACAAGGUGGAUUUGUUACUGUAGGUGCCAUUACUUCUGCCACCAGCUUCUCCAGUACAGUGACAGUCUUCUUUGUGCAUGGAAACUCUGCUCUUUCCUGUGUUGCAGUGGAUACCUCC
rnacentral:lncRNA from 1 species